UGGGGAAUUUUGGACAAUGGGCGCAAGCCUGAUCCAGCAACGCCGCGUGGGUGAUGAAGGCCUUCGGGUUGUAAAGCCCUGUCGGGAGGGACGAAAGAACAGAGUAACGAACUGGAAUGACGGUACCUCCAACGGAAGCACCGGCUAACUCUGUGCCAGCAGCCGCGGUAAUACAGAGGGUGCAAGCGUUGUUCGGAAUUACUGGGCGUAAAGCGCGUGUAGGUGGCAUGGUAAGUCUCGUGUGAAAGCCCUGGGCUCAACCCAGGAAGUGCGCGAGAUACUGCCGUGCUUGAGUGAUGGAGAGGAUGGCGGAAUUCCCGGUGUAGAGGUGAAAUUCGUAGAUAUCGGGAGGAACACCUGUGGCGAAGGCGGCCAUCUGGACAUUUACUGACACUGAGACGCGAAAGCGUGGGUAGCAAA
rnacentral:rRNA from 1 species